GACGAACGCUGGCGGCGUGCUUAACACAUGCAAGUCGAGCGGUAACGCCCUUUCGGGGGUACGACGAGCGGCGAACGGGUGAGUAACACGUGGGUGACCUGCCCUCAGCUCUGGGAUAAGCCUGGGAAACCGGGUCUAAUACUGGAUAUGACUCCAUGACGCAUGUUGUGGGGUGGAAAGCCUUGUGCGGCUGAGGAUGGGCCCGCGGCCUAUCAGCUUGUUGGUGGGGUGANGGCCUACCAAGGCGACGACGGGUAGCCGGCCUGAGAGGGCGACCGGCCACGCUGGGACUGAGACACGGCCCAGACUCCUACGGGAGGCAGCAGGUGGGGAAUCUUGCGCAAUGGGCGAAAGCCUGACGCAGCGACGCCGCGUGAGGGAUGACGGCCU
rnacentral:rRNA from 1 species